rnacentral:lncRNA from 1 species
GCACUCCUUUACUAAUUUGUCUAUGGAAAAUUACAAGGUUGCUUCAUACACUUGUGCUUCUUUUGAAUUUGAUCAAGUUCUGCAUCAUUGAGAAUGGGGAACAGGCGACGUCGCAGAGUUAGAAUUAGAAUCGAAUCUCCAGUAUCACAUUCGUUUAUUGCUUCAAACAUUACAACAUCAAAUUCCACUAUGAAUCCUCCAGCUCGAUGUCCAUGACAACAUGUUAAUGUCGGGCGCAUACCUCAUUCUAUUGAUAAUCAGUACAUUCUUACUACUGUUGUUGAUGUUCACCUUGGCUACGCAUUACCUUCCAGUAACGGAUGCAUACGUGCACCUCAAGGAUGUGUGUUGCUAGCAUGGGCAUACCCGGGUAGGACAAAACAAUACCCUAUCAAUUUGGUUUCUGUUGAAACAACAACUGAAGAGUUUACUAGUGGGUUAUCAUACGACACAUCCGCAUAUCUCAAAACUUGUAAGUAUGAUAACCCACUAGGUAAGUAUCAAAAACAUAUCUCAAAACUUGUAUCAAAGCUCGAACCAUCUUCAUAACCAUAAUAAAUCCAUAUCCAUAAAUCCACCAUAUUUGUAAAUUCGUAAUAUAAAUUAUAUUAAAAAACCAUAGAAACCAAUAUAUGCAAAACCAAUAAUUCAUUCUCUUUAAUAAAACAUAAUUUUGAUAAAUAGUAAUUAUAGAAGUCUGGAAAACAUAAUAUAAAGCAUAUUCAAUGCAUGAAAUAUGUAAUGCAUGCUAGGUUAAUGAUUUAUAAAAAAUAUAGUUAAGAAGGGAUCCACUCACUAGUUUUUCC